rnacentral:rRNA from 1 species
UACAGAGGUCCCGAGCGUUGUUCGGAUUCACUGGGCGUAAAGGGUGCGUAGGUGGUGAGGUAAGUCGGAUGUGAAAUCUCCGGGCUCAACCCGGAAACUGCAUUGGAAACUACCUUGCUGGAGGGUUUGAGGGGGACUGGAAUUCUCGGUGUAGCAGUGAAAUGCGUAGAUAUCGAGAGGAACACCGGUGGCGAAGGCGAGUCCCUGGAAAACACCUGACACUGAGGCACGAAAGCUAGGGGAGCAAACAGG